AUUGAACGCUGGCGGAAUGCUUUACACAUGCAAGUCGAACGGUAGAGGGGGCAACCCCUCGAGAGUGGCGAACGGGUGAGUAAUAUAUCGGAACGUGCCCAGUCGUGGGGGAUAACGUAGCGAAAGUUACGCUAAUACCGCAUACGAUCUAAGGAUGAAAGCGGGGGAUCGCAAGACCUCGCGCGAUUGGAGCGGCCGAUAUCAGAUUAGGUAGUUGGUGGGGUAAAGGCUCACCAAGCCAACGAUCUGUAGCUGUGCUGAGAGGACGACCAGCCACACUGGAACUGAGCAACGGUCCAGACUCCUACGGGAGGCAGCAGUGGGGAAUUUUGGACAAUGGACGUAAGUCUGAUCCAGCCAUUCCGCGUGCAGGAUGAAGGCCCUCGGGUUGUAAACUGCUUUUGUACGGAACGAAAAGGUCUCUCUUAAUACGGGGGACUCAUGACGGUACCGUAAGAAUAAGCACCGGCUAACUACGUGCCAGCCGCCGCAGUAAAAC
rnacentral:rRNA from 1 species